rnacentral:rRNA from 1 species
GACGAACGCUGGCGGCGUGCUUAACACAUGCAAGUCGAACGAUGAAACCGGAGCUUGCUCCGGUGGAUUAGUGGCGAACGGGUGAGUAACACGUGAGUAACCUGCCCUUGACUCUGGGAUAACUGCGGGAAACUGUAGCUAAUACCGGAUACGACCCUCGGAGGCAUCUCCUGGGGGUGGAAAGAAUUUCGGUCAAGGAUGGACUCGCGGCCUAUCAGCUAGUUGGUGAGGUAACGGCUCGCCACGGCGACGACGGGUAGCCGGCCUGAGAGGGUGACGGGCCACACUGGGACUGAGACACGGCCCAGACUCCUACGGGAGGCAGCAGUGGGGAAUAUUGCACAAUGGGCGCAAGCCUGAUGCAGCAACGCCGCGUGAGGGAUGACGGCCUUCGGGUUGUAAACCUCUUUUAGCAGGGAGGAAGCGAAAGUGACGGUACCUGCAGAAAAAGCACCGGCUAACUACGUGCCAGCCGCCGCCGUAA